rnacentral:rRNA from 1 species
GACGAACGCUGGCGGCGUGCUUAACACAUGCAAGUCGAACGGUAAGGCCCUUUUUUUUUCGGGUGCUCGAGUGGCGUACGGGUGAGUAACCCGUGAGUAACCUGCCCUUGACUUUUGGAUAACUUCAGGACACUUAGUCCCAUACCUGAUAUGAGGUUCUGCUUCGUGGUCGGGGUUGGAAUGUUUCGGCGCUUGGGUGUGGACUGGCGGGUUUCCAGUUUGAUGGUGGGUUAGUGGCUUACCUAGGCUUUGACGGGUAUCUGGCCUGAGAGGGGGACCGGCCACAUGGGGACUGAGAGACGGAGCAGACGGGUAUGGGAGGCAAAAGUGGGGAAUAUUGCACAAUGGGCGGAAGCCGGAGGAAAAAGCGCCGGGUGCGUGAUGACGGUCUUUAGGUAGUAAAACGCUUUCGCCUGUGACGAAGCGUGAGUGACGGUAAUGGGUAAAGAAGCACCGGCUAACUACGUG